AAUCCAUGCUGUGGGCACCUCCGGAAAAGAUCCUUGAAGUGCUUCCAUGUCUCAAACAAUGACUCUAACUUCAUCUGCACAAAUGAUGAUAUCUCAUUGCAAAGCUU